CUCCUGAGUUGGUACAGUCCAGCUUCGCGCCUCUAGCUUCGCGCCUCCAGCUUCGCGCCUCCAACUUGGAUUGCAGGAUUAGUAAUAUUUUUGGGUCCGGGAUACAGUGGUACAGUGUGAAGAAAUUAAGGCACACUAUGGAGAAACUGGACGAAAUAACAAUUGCCACCCUGAAAGAAGCAAAUGUUGGAGAAGACCUCUCAUCACUGUCACGAGAUGACAUCAAAGAUCUGUUUCCUGGUCCUGAACAUUUCCUCAGGCGUCGGGCUCUAUGGCUUGCAGUGCACAAAUGUGAAGAAAACAAGACUGCUGCUGAAAAAC
ensembl:lncRNA